rnacentral:rRNA from 1 species
AGCAGCCGCGGUAAUUCCAGCUCCAAUAGCGUAUAUUAAAGUUGUUGCAGUUAAAAAGCUCGUAGUUGAAUUUCGGGGUUAGUAGGUUGGUCAUGCCUCUGGUACGUACUGGUCUCACUGAUUCCUCCUUCCUUAUGAACCGUAAUGCCAUUAAUUUGGUGUUGCGAGGAAUUUGGACUGUUACUUUGAAAAAAUUAGAGUGUUUAAAGCAAAGCUAACGCUUGAAUACAUUAGCAUGGAAUAAUGAAAUAGGACGUUCGAUCUUAUUUUGUUGGUUUCUAGGAUUGACGUAAUGAUUAAUAGGGAUAGUUGGGGGCAUUAGUAUUCAAUUGUCAGAGGUGAAAUUCUUGGAUUUAUUGAAGACUAACUACUGCGAAAGCAUUUGCCAAGGAUGUUUUCAUUAAUCAAGAACGAAAGUUAGGGGAUCGAAGACGAUCAGAUACCGUCGUAGUCUUAACCAUAAACUAUGCCGACUAGGGAUCGGAUGAUGUUAAUUUUUAAUGACUCAUUUCGGCGCCUU